UCUGGUUAGAGGAAUAGGCAGAUGUUUGUCUCUCAGUAAAGGAGAUCAUCCGUGCUUUGCACACUUGCCUUUCUUCUAGCUAUUUAAGCUUUUUCUGAUGCAGAUGCCACCCUGGAGCAUACCUUACUGUGAGCUUGUGAAGUGGCUCCUAGAACAUAUUUUCCGGCUAAGGUAGAAGAUGUUUCCUAGGGAGGACACCAGAACAGGAGAAAUAAAGUCAUAGAAAAAACAGUUCCUGGACCGGGAACCCAGGCCCAGCCCUGACACUGAGUCUCUCUGCUCCCAUGGACCAGGCACUUUUUCUCUCCAAACCUGUAAUCUAGAAAGUUUCUUUUCUAGUUCUAAAAAUCUGUGAUUCUAGGUACUGUGAAAACAAAAAAUAAGAAAGUAAGGGUAAAGAAAAUGGAGUGGAACGCUAAUAGAUGGGAAUUCAUUCAUUCACUUACUCAUUUAUUCAUUCAUUCUUCCUUUGUAUCUUCUAGCAAGAUGUCAUGGAGCCCCUAUUAAAUGAGAGGCGGGGACUGCUCACUCUCCCAGACAAGGGGGUGAGGAAAAAGGAUCACUAUUUGCUAGCACCAAGUAAAGCCCACCGUUGUCCACUGUGCAGUUAAUUCGGACCAGUGCAGGUAGCCAGAUGACAGACUGAGAGCUGGAUUCACAGGUUCCAUUCACUCAUCUCUAUAUUUCAAUGUGACCCUGAAGCAACAGAGGCUAAAAUAAGAGCAAUAGGAAAAAUCACCCCUGUUUAAAAAUAAAUGAUGAAUACAAACCUCACACCAUAUUGGAUUCCAAAGACCACAGAACUGCCAUGCCAGAACCAAAAAGAUAAGGCAGCAACAUAUACAGGAUAGAGCUUGAACUAGAAAUCUGGGUUGUUGCCCGUGAUCUGUCACCAACUACAACAUUGGUGUAGCUCUGAUCAAGGUACCUUCCAUCUCUGAGUCUUAGUCUCCUGUUCUUUAAAGUCUGGCCUGAGCUUAAACUGGAUUUUCUCCAAGGCCUCUUCCAGGUCUAAUGUUACAUGAUCGGUCGCUGAUAUUAUUCCAUAAGGUAGUAUUCCCUUCUAAAAACAGCAAAACACAAAUUCCUCAAAGCCAAAGGCAACACCUUUGUUUCCUUUGCAUGGCUGAUUAAAUUAAUGCAAACCAAGCAGGCUUUCACCGGAGAGCCUGGGAAAUUGCCGGAUAUUUGGGGAAGAUUACUGAGGUUAGUGCACAGUUGUCUUUGGCUAAGAUGUGCAGUCCUUCAGAGUUUUCUUGGAGUUUUGAUUAAGCAUAAAAUAGAGAAGCUCAAGCUAUGUAGACUCUCUAACCAAAAAUGCUUCUCAAGAAGGGCUCUUUUAUCACUUGCUAUAAGGGAGGUAUAUUUAUUCUUUGAAUCAUUUUUUAUAUCUCCAUUCCAUUCUUUGUGGUCGCAUAAAGCACACACAUCUAUUUACAGCCCUUCAAGGUAAGUACAAUCGUCCCCCUUUUAUAGAUGAGGAAAACAGGACUAACAGACAUGAGCUAAUUGGCCCAAACUGGAAAAUUGAAAUCCAGGUCUUACUGAUUCAAAAGCCUGAGCUUUUCCACAAAAUCAAUGGUUCCCAAGUAAUUCAUUCUAAAACUAAUGCUUGAGACACAUAUGAAUUUGGAGGAACCUUAGGAAUCCCUGUAUUAGCCACACAAAAGAAUAGCAGGGCUUCCUGGGCCCAUGGAAGAAGGUGACAAAGAAUAAAGGUGGAAUAUAAUGUCCGUGCUACAUCACAUAUGACAUGCUCUGACUUAGGACGCUUAAAAUUGGGAGCCUAAUUUUUGGUCUUGCUUCUCUAGCCCAUUAUUUCUAAAAAUAACACAUUUUUACUUUUCUAUAUUUCACAGGAUAUGGCAGAGUCUCCUUGAGAAAAACAAAGCAAAGAUGCUUUGCAAGUAAAUAUAUGCUGAAUGAAUGAAUUACCACAAGUUAUUCAUUCUCUGUUCAUUAAUUAAUGUUGCUUCAUUCAUCAGCUGCAUUGUCCAAUUUACUUUAGCAGACCGGCUGUCAUCAACUCCAGAGAGCUUAUGAAGGGUUGAGAUAAUUAGUCUCAAUACCCUUAAGGAGAAGUGGAGGUACAGUCUUGCUCUCUUGAAGAAUUGCACACUAAGAAACCACAAACCAGCAUCUAACGAGAUGGAAAUUCUGCAGCAGGCUGCCUGCCGCCCGAUGUGCCCAGCAGAGCCGGCUUAAAAUGCAGGAAACACCUGUGGAGCGAUUGACAUGACAAGAACUGAGAUGGGGCAGUUCUGAUACAACUGACAAAGAAUUAGCAGUACAGAGCAUGAGACCCUGCAUAAAGACAAAUGGGAGAAGCCGAAGCGCAAGGUGUCAGCAGGUUUCGUCUCUUCUGAGGCCUCUCUCCUUGGCUUGCAGAUGGCCUCCUUCUCGCUGUGUCCUCACGUGGCCUUUUUUCUCCAUGUGCGUGCAUCCGUCGUGUCUCUCUUAUUCUUGGAAGAAAAACAUGUGCCUUCUGCUAACUGUCUGGUGUGUCCAGUUCUGAAUGUCAAGACCAAGUCCUGAAAAUGGGUACUGGGGACGACUUAAGAGGUGAGUCAAGGUGGGUCUCACCCACUGGAUCAGAGGGGGCUUCUCCACCACUGGGAGCAAAAACCUGUCUUCUACAGAUGGCAGAGCAGAGAAUGUUCCCCUUUCAAGAAGGCCCACUUAACUUGAUUUUUUUUCUUAAAGCUUUUCAUUCCCUCACUCAGCAUUUGUCAAGCACCUUGUAUGUGUCAAGCUGAUGAUAGGCAUUGAUGCUACACAGAUGGUUAUAACCUGGUCCAGCAAAAUCUCUUGCUGUCUGGUAGGGACCAGGCAAAUACAAAUGGAUGAGUUAAAGUCCUGCAUAAUAGAUACCUCAUUGGAACUAUGAACCAAUGACUCCAGAGAAAGAGCCACACCUGACUGCCUGUCAUCUUCUGACAGAGGAUGUCAUGUUGUAUGCGGUGUGAUCAUCUACCAAGAUCCUAGGACCAAUUAUAUGGCUCAUUGACCUGCACGGGUACCUGGAACUUCAGCUCAAACAUUUACGAUAACCAAGCAUCCAAAAGCUAUGAAAACACAGAACUGGCAGCCAAUCCAUUAAAUCACUCAAACAUCUAUUAACUAGCAAUUGUAUAAAAUUUGCUGGAUUUGAGCACUGUAAGGGUAUAGAAGGGCAAAUGAAGAUCAAUAACAGGAGAGGAAAGAGAAGAGUAAAACAGUUAGCAUCUGUUGAUGGCCAGGCAUCAUAUUAAGUAUUUCAUAUAUAUUAUUUAAUUCUGAAAGGAUCUUUUUGUAAGUUAAGAAGCUGAGGUGACAUGAGUUGCUCAAGUUCACACAGACAGCAAAGGGUGAGCCAUUGCAAUGCAAAGCCCAUGUCCAAUUCCUCACUCCUUGCUACUCUAGCAAGAGUUCUGGGGGUAAGUUUUGUAAGGAGAGAAAGAAAAGAGAGAAAAUCCUUGACAGUAAGUGAAGCAAAAGCCUGGAUAUCUGAAUGGGAGGAGACACCGUUGCAGAGCCCAUCCGUCCUGAUUUUCCCAGAGGCACGGGAGCAGAGCACGUCCCCACCGAACCUAAGCACGCGGAAAGAUGCCCACAGAUUGCUGCAUUUGUAUUUUUACUGAGCCAGCAUUGAGGAAUUCCACAGACACAUAUGUUGUGUACAUACGUGGGCUAUCACUUUUUAGGUGGAUGUACGUGUUAGGAUUAUCGAAAUAAGCAUCCAUUUAAAAGAAUGAU
rnacentral:lncRNA from 1 species